ensembl:lncRNA
GGUGUGUCCUUCACAUCUGUGUCACCGAGGUCCUGGGACAGGCCUGACCAGACAUUAACAGCAAUGAUGACAGCUGCCACUUGGUGGGCACGGGCCCUGUGGCCAAGCAUGCUCGGGGGUGGUGCCCCCAUGACCUCACUGAAUCCUGUUCAUCAAUCCAUUCCAGAUGAGAAGGAAGGAAGUAAACCACCAUGUAAGAAGUCAGACUACAGACUGCCUGGAGACUGCCGUGUCGUGAGGAAGCCCAAGCUAGCCAUAUGAAGUGACCACAUAGAGAAAGAAAGAGAGAUGUCCAAUGGCCUCUGCUAUCACCACCAUCCCAGCUGAAGCCCAGAUAUGAGUGAAGAAGCCAUCUACGAUGGCCAACCCCAGUGACCAUUCAGGAAACUCCAGCCCUGCCACUACUGACAGCCACUGCAGAUCAGACAGCAAGAGAACUGCCCAGCUGAGCCCAGUCUACCCACAGGACCAAGUGUGCACUUGCUUGGCUGCCUGAGGAGACCAGACCUAGCAGCCAAACCAUGUGGCUUUGGCCAAAUUCCUGGUGUGACAGGUAAUUGCGGUUUUCCUAGGAGCUUCACCUGGGCACCUGCUAGAAACUUGGAUUUCUUAAAAAAUUAGACACGAUUCAGGUAGUCAAAUGCACAAAUCAUUGUGUGCAACGAGGUAGGUUUUUACAUGUGACCUCCCUGGUCCAGAUACGGAACAUUUUUGGCACCCCAGAAAUCUCCCUUGUGCCUACCACUAGUCCAUGUACCACACCAGGAACCCAGGGGAACCCACUGUUCUGAAGACUGUCUCCAUAGUGACGUUUUGCCUGUUCUUGAACUUCUAUAAGUGGACUUGUACAACAUGGACCUUCUUUGAAAAAAGGUAUUUGACUGC